AUUGUUCUACAACUACUAUUUUUUAUAUUUGAUUUUCGUGUCUUGGAAAUGUUGUACAUUUUGUGUAUUUCUAUUGUAUUUAUUUUGCCUUGCUCUUAUUUUAUUCUGUCUCUCUCGAUAUUUUUUGAGAUUUCCUUGCCAAGUUGAACAAGCAAUUAGACUAUGCAAAAGUUGUGUUACUCUGUCUCUGUCUGUGUUUUUCUGUCUGCGCAAUGACCAGCAUGAAAAAUAUGUUGAAACAUGAAAGCAAAUUUCUUGGCUCAAAAGUCAAGCAAUGCAAAUUCGAGAGGGUGAGCGAGAGAGAGGGAGAAGGAAGGGAAACUGGACACAAAACAAUGUCAAUGUGACUGCUAAGCGUUCCCCAUAGCACAAUUAAAUUGGACUGCCAAGUGGUGCAAGAACUGAGAAUGGGAAUGAGAAGCACUCUCACAACUCAACUCGGAGGACACUUCUCUGGGGAGACACCUUUAUGAAGUUCGGGGGCACAAAAAACACACACAACGAACAGCACACAACUAACGAUAAGCACUAUGAUUAUGGCUGGUGGAGAAGUUUGUGCAGGACAAUCCAUUAUUUUCAAUAUACCCCACACCGAAAGUAAACUAGAAUGAAACGAAGAGAGAGAGAGAGAGAGAGAGAGAAACCCUUUUUGGCUAAGCAAAAAACCCAACUCAAUUGCAUAGCUACUUCAAUCAAUCAACGCUGACAUUGAGCAGCUGCUGGGCAAGCCAAAGGGACACGCCCCCAAGCGGAACUCAAUUACACUGUGAUACACAAAAAACGAGGGGAGAAGGCGAAAAAAACAACAAAAUACAAACGGAUAACUAACGAGACCCGGCGA